GAGACUCUGUGCGCGUGCAUAUCAAUAAGCGGAGGAAAAGAAACUAACAAGGAUUCCCUUAGUAACGGCGAGUGAAGCGGGAAGAGCUCAAAUUUGAAAUCUUCAAGGUUCUACCUUGACGAAUUGUAGUUUAUAGAAGUGUUUUCUGUUAGUGGAGUGGCAAAAGUUCUUUGGAAUAGGACAUCAUAGAGGGUGAGAAUCCCGUAUUUGGUCAUUCCUCCUAGCGUUGUGAUACACUUUCAACGAGUCGGAUUGUUUGGGAAUGCAGUCCAAAAUGGGUGGUAAAUUUCAUCUAAAGCUAAAUAUUGGCGAGAGACCGAUAGCGAACAAGUACCGUGAGGGAAAGAUGAAAAGAACUUUGAAAAGAGAGUUAAACAGUACGUGAAAUUGUCAAAAGGGAAGCGUUUGACACCAGUGUUGUUUUUCCGAAAAUCAAUUACGAAUGUUUUGUUUUUGAGGAGUUAUGACUUCAUCGGCUUGCUCCUUUCUUUACGAAACUUUCUUAAUGCACUUUUCGGUUAACAAGUCAACAUCAAUUUCUUUUGUUGUAAAAGGGUAUGAGGAAGGUGGCUUUCUUUUCGGAGAAAGUGUUUAUAGCCUUGUGCCUCUGCAAUCGGAGAGAUUGAGGUCUGCAGCGUAGAUCCUUCGGGGUUGGAUACAUUUGUGCUAAGUUAUAGUUCUUUAUAGACAACUUGUUGACUAUAAUCAAUCCUGUAACUUACUCGCUUAUGCUAUUUUACCUACGCUUAGGAUGUUGAACUCUAUCACACACAG
rnacentral:rRNA from 1 species